UACGUAGGGGGCAAGCGUUGUCCGGAAUCAUUGGGCGUAAAGAGCGCGUAGGCGGCCCUGUAAGUCCGCUGUGAAAGUCAAGGGCUCAACCCUUGAAUGCCGGUGGAUACUGUCGGGCUAGAGUGCGGAAGAGGCGAGUGGAAUUCCUGGUGUAGCGGUGAAAUGCGCAGAUAUCAGGAGGAACACCAAUUGCGAAGGCAGCUCGCUGGGACGUUACUGACGCUGAGACGCGAAAGCGUGGGGAGCAAACAGG
rnacentral:rRNA from 1 species